GGGUUGUGAGGUUAAGCGACUAAGCGUACACGGUGGAUGCCCUGGCAGUCAGAGGCGAUGAAGGACGUGCUAAUCUGCGAUAAGCGCCGGUAAGGUGAUAUGAACCGUUAUAACCGGCGAUUUCCGAAUGGGGAAACCCAGUGUGACUCGUCACACUAUCAUUAACUGAAUCCAUAGGUUAAUGAGGCGAACCGGGGGAACUGAAACAUCUAAGUACCCCGAGGAAAAGAAAUCAACCGAGAUUCCCCCAGUAGCGGCGAGCGAACGGGGAGGAGCCCAGAGCCUGAAUCAGCAUGUGUGUUAGUGGAAGCGUCUGGAAAGGCGCGCGAUACAGGGUGACAGCCCCGUACACAAAAGCGCAUAUGCUGUGAGCUCGAUGAGUAGGGCGGGACACGUGGUAUCCUGUCUGAAUAUGGGGGGACCAUCCUCCAAGGCUAAAUACUCCUGACUGACCGAUAGUGAACCAGUACCGUGAGGGAAAGGCGAAAAGAACCCCGGCGAGGGGAGUGAAAAAGAACCUGAAACCGUGUACGUACAAGCAGUGGGAGCACCCUUUGGGGUGUGACUGCGUACCUUUUGUAUAAUGGGUCAGCGACUUAUAUUCUGUAGCAAGGUUAACCGAAUAGGGGAGCCGGAGGGAAACCGAGUCUUAAC
rnacentral:rRNA from 1 species